CGAUUUACUAAAAGAUCUCCAAAGAAAUUGCAACACCCAGGAAAAACCGCGGACGGUCCGCUAGGGAUCGGCGGACGGUCCGCCAGAGUAACGCCCAGAUAUUUAGCUGGAUGUGGGCCCGGUCGUCUUCUCCUCCUUCCUCAUUCCCACCUCGACCAGAGACAAGCGGAGCUCGUCUGCUCGCGCCGCCGUCGCCUCCUUCCAUCGAUCUCCCUCCUCCGGCCACCAUACUUCGAUUCCUCGCGCGAGCACCUUCCCCGGCACCUCCUCCACCUUCCCCAACCCCCCAGCCCAGCUUCUCCCAGCUGGAAUCGCCCCCACCACCGCCGGUCACCAUUGGAGCCGCUUGAAGCUUUGCUCCACCGUCGAUCCGCUUCUCCGGUCAUCCUCCACUCGAACAGACCGCGGGAAUGGAAUCGUGGUGCGCUAGAGGUACACGUGUGGACGUGAAGCAGCGGUGUUGGAGUCGACCUACAAGACGGUGUUCGACGGAUAUCGCCAGAAGAUGGAAGGACCCGCUGAAGCAACCAAAGACCCGGCCCAAGGUCGAAAGGGCCCAAGGCCUUAAUAGCAUUAACACUGACUUAGUGUUACCCCAAGCAAGUCCCUGUGCACAUCCUAGUAUUUGAAAUUAUGACACACACACAUAUAUUAGUUGUGCAUUACGUAUAGAAAUUGGCUAAAACCCUAGUUGCAUGAUCCCUAGGUUUUCUUGAGUUUAUACUAGUAUGUUAGGACGAUAGUAAUGCUAUGCUUAAGAGUUCUCGGUAGAAGUCGAGUGACUUCUUGUCACCCGCGAGAUUUAGGAUGUUUAGAAGUCGAGUAAUUUCCGGUUACUCGCGAGAUAUGUGAAUUAAUUAUAUUUCGACAUAUGAGUUGCUGAAUGGAUAUAGAAUGCAUGGAAA